rnacentral:rRNA from 1 species
UACGUAGGGGGCUAGCGUUAUCCGGAAUUACUGGGCGUAAAGGGUGCGUAGGUGGUUUCUUAAGUCAGAGGUGAAAGGCUACGGCUCAACUGUAGUAAGCCUUUGAAACUGGGAAACUUGAGUGCAGGAGAGGAGAGUGGAAUUCCUAGUGUAGCGGUGAAAUGCGUAGAUAUUAGGAGGAACACCAGUUGCGAAGGCGGCUCUCUGGACUGUAACUGACACUGAGGCACGAAAGCGUGGGGAGCAAACAGGAUUAGAUACCCCUGUAGUCCCUGA